rnacentral:lncRNA from 1 species
UGAGACAGGGUCCUCCGCCAUCCCAAGUUGGCACUGCCACUAACCCCUAAAGCCACCUUGGGAAAGGCAGCUCCAUCUUUCUUGGUUAGGUCUGUUCCUUCAGAGACAUGCACACAGUGAAUGGGUCAGGAGUGGCCCAGUUUCCUUUUUGAGUCUGUUGUUCUAGUUCUGUCUUGCCUCACAAUGCUUUGGAUGACCCAGGAGACCAUUGGGCAAGAGUCUGGAAUCCUUUGAGAAUCUCUAGGCUCAGGCUGGAAAGGGCUUGUCUUCUGGUCUCCUCAGGCUAUAUCCCAGGGACACACUGGGUUGCUGCAGGCUCAUUUUUGAAGUUAGUGUAUUUCAUCUUAUCCCAGGAACCAUCUGCAGAUGUACCUCACAGCAGAGCUCACCAUUUCUGUGGAAAUGAAGCAGAAAGAAGGCCCAUUCAGAAGUUCAAAAGUUUACAUUUUUUGUUAUUUGUUUGUUUGUUUGUUUGAUAAUGCUGGGGAGUUGAACCCAGGGCCUUGCACACUCUAGGCAGGUGCUUUACCCUACAUCCCCAGCCCCGUGAAUGUUUUUUAAAUGGCUGAUAACACCAAGAAUUGCUGAGGAGGUAUAAUGUCUGAAACUCUCAUACAUCGUUAGAAAAACCAAAUUGAAAAAAAUUUGUGGUUGUUGCCUGCCAAAAUGAAGGUUAACUUUUUUUGUUUGUUUUAGUAUUAAGGAUUGAUCCCAAGGCCUUGGGCAAGCACUGAACCCUCAGUCCUAAACAUGUGUGCCUUUUGAUUCAGAGGUUCUACUUCUGGGUUAUACACCCAGCAGAAAUGAGUAUUUAUGACCUCCAACAUCAUUGAUAAGAAAGGUCAGCAAUUUUAUUCAUAAUAACUCCAAACUGGAAAUAAUGUCAAUAGCAAAAAAGGUAAAUGUGGUUUAAUCAUACAAUGGGAUAUUACACAGCAGUGCUACACAUGGACAUUGUGUGGAUGAAUCUGUUUUGAGUGGAAAAAAAUCAAACAUGAAGCAGUAAUUCCUAACUGUAAAAUUAGUAAAUGUAGGGAGCUGUAAGUGUAGCUCAGUGGUAGAGCACUUGCCUAGCACAUGUGAGGCCCUGGAUUCAAUUCCUUGCUGCAAGCAAUAAAUAGUAAGUAAGUAAAUAAAUAAAUAAAUAAAAUCCUUAAUCUGGCCUUUAUGAGCCUGCAUUGUCUGACUUCAAAUUUGACUCCAGCCACAUCUUGUAUUUCCUCUUUCUCAGCUUCAGCUGCAGUAGCUCUCUUCCAAUCAAACUGCUUCCUAAUCAAAAUGCUUCAUUCUCUCACAGAACCUGGGCACAGCUUUAUCUCUUGGUACACUCUUUCUGCUAUUGGGAUAUCUAGUUAUCCUUAUGAUUUCAUUUACCGGUUGGGGUUGUGGCUCAGCGGUAGAGCGCUCGCCUAGCAUGUGCGGGGCCCUGGGUUCGAUCCUCAGCACCAC